UCGUGUUGUGCGUGUUGGUCAAUGAGAGUAGUAGGAGGAAUUAGGCAAUAAUAAAUCUGUGAAAUCAUCGUCGUGGUAGUUUACCUAGUGCCCGCCUACUUGCGCGGCUGAUUCAAAUUUGUAAUGAACAAGUUAUUCUCACGACAAUUUAGGGAAUCAUUUACAGAAGCUUUGAAUUAUUUCUGUACGAGAAAAAGAUCAUAUAUACUUUUAUAUUAAUAUCUCGUGCAACAAGCGAUUAUUUGGACUAAAGAGCAGUUUUUCAUAACCAGUGCAAAAUGGAACACCGUAAGAAAUUUAUAAGUACAAGUAAACAAGAUAGAAUGGCAAGGCGUUCAUGAUAACUGAACGGGAACCAAUACAUGAAAAGCAGCCAGCGUAAAACGCUUUCUCCUGAGUUAUUUUAUAUUCUGCUUUGAAGAGAUAGCUGUCCCAUGAUGUUUAUAAUGAGAUAUGAAGAACUGCCUAGGAGAAAAUCAGAGAUCACAGCAGGUUAUCAGCUGAAAUCUUGUGAACACUCCCUAUGGCUGCAACACCAUGCAAGGUGACCCUACACCAGUGGGGGCAAGAGACAACAGGAGAAAUGGAUCAUGAAAUAAAACUGUAACUGCAACCUGAGGCUGUUCUACUACUGCUACUACUACUACUACUACUACACCAUGAGGCUGUGUUCCACCCAUCUGCUAUGAUGCUUAUUGAAGAAUAUUUAUUUUUGUCUUGUAAUUUUAUGUGUGCUCAUGCACACUUCAUUUCAUAGUUUUGAUGGUUGUUCUGUGCAUGUUUCACCUCAAUUUACUCAAACCAUUUGU